UUAAACUGAAGAGUUUGAUCCUGGCUCAGAUUGAACGCUGGUGGCAUGCUUAACACAUGCAAGUCGAACGGUAACAGGUCUUAGGAUGCUGACGAGUGGCGGACGGGUGAGUAACGCGUAGGAAUCUGCCCAUUUGAGGGGGAUACCAGUUGGAAACGACUGUUAAUACCGCAUAAUAUCUGUGGAUUAAAGGUGGCUUUCGGGCUGUCGCAGAUGGAUGAGCCUGCGUUGGAUUAGCUAGUUGGUGGGGUAAGGGCCCACCAAGGCUACGAUCCAUAGCUGAUUUGAGAGGAUGAUCAGCCACAUUGGGACUGAGACACGGCCCAAACUCCUACGGGAGGCAGCAGU
rnacentral:rRNA from 1 species